rnacentral:rRNA from 1 species
AUUGAACGCUAGCGGGAGGCUUUACACAUGCAAGUCGAACGAGUGGCGGACGGGUGAGUAAUAUAUGGGAACGUGACCAGUGGAGGGGGAUAACUACUGGAAACGGUGGCUAAUACCGCAUACGAUCGGAGGGGCCCAUGUCGGAUUAGCUAGUGGGGGGGGUAAAGGAGCACAAAGGCAACGAUCCUGAGCGGGUUUGAGAGGAGGACCAGCAACACUGGGAAGGAGACACGGUCCAGACUCCUACGGGGGGCAGAAGUGGGGAAGAUUGCACAAUGGGCGAAAGCCUGAGACAGCCAUGCCGCGUGUAUGAAGAAGGCCGUCGGGUUGUAAAGUACUUUUGGCGGAGAGGCGUUAUUCGCAGAAGAAGCACCGGCUAACUACGUGCCAGCAGCCGCGGUAAUAC